UUACGGCCACAUCACGUUGAAAUACCGGCUCUGUAUGAUCACCGAAGUUAAGAAACAUCAAGCUUGGUCAGUACCUAAAUGGGUGACCGCCUGGGAAAACCACGUGCUGUAAG